AACGAACGCUGGCGGCAUGCCUAACACAUGCAAGUAGAACGCGGCCUUCGGGUCCUUUGUCUUACGGGUGCGUUACCCAUCGGAACCUUCCCUCGUGGUUGGACUACCUCAUAGCAGUGUGUGCUAAUACCAAAUGAUGUCUUCGGCCCAAAGAUUUAUCGGCUUUAGAUGGGCCCGCGUUGGAUUAGCAAGUUGGUCUGGUAAAGGCCUACCAAGGUGACGUUCCAUAGCUGGUCUGAGAGGAUGAUCCGCCACACUGGGACCGAGACACGGCCGAGACUCCUACGGGAGGCAGCAGUGGGGAAUAUUGGACAAUGGGCGAAAGCCUGAUCCAGCAAUGCCGCGUGAGUGAUGAAGGCGUUAGGGUUGUAAAGCUCUUUUACCCGAGAUGAUAAUGACAGUAUCGGGAGAAUAAGCUCCGGCUAACUCCGUG
rnacentral:rRNA from 1 species